UACGGGGGGGAGCAAGCGUUGUUCGGAUUUACUGGGCGUAAAGGGCGCGUAGGCGGCGUGACAAGUCACUUGUGAAAUCUCCGGGCUUAACUCGGAGCGGUCAAGUGAUACUGUCGUGCUAGAGUGCGGAAGGGGCUACUGGAAUUCUCGGUGUAGCGGUGAAAUGCGUAGAUAUCGAGUGAAGGAAGACCAGUGGCGGAAGGCGGGUCUCUGGACAGUUCCUGACGCUGAGGCACGAAGGUCAGGGGAGCGAAACGGG
rnacentral:rRNA from 1 species